UCAAUGGGUUCUUAGAUCGUACCCACGUUACUUGGAUAACUGUGGUAAUUCUAGAGCUAAUACAUGCCGACAGAGUUCCGACCAGCUGUUCGGAUGUGCGACGGCCUCGCGUCGUUCGUCGCCGUUCGGUUCGGAAGGAACGCUUUUAUUAGAUCAAAACCGGCUAAACGGCGGUUUCGCUCUUGCAGCGUUUACCGUCGUAAGCGGCCCGCGCAAAGAUUUGGUGACUCUGAAUAACUUCGAGCUGAUCGCACGGUCUUCGUACCGGCGACGUAUCUUUCAAAUGUCUGCCUUAUCAACUGUCGACGGUAGGUUCGACGCCUACCGUGGUGGUAACGGGUAACGGGGAAUCAGGGUUCGAUUCCGGAGAGGGAGCCUGAGAAACGGCUACCACAUCUAAGGAAGGCAGCAGGCGCGCAAAUUACCCACUCCCAGCUCGGGGAGGUAGUGACGAAAAAUAACGAUACGGGACUCAUUCGAGGCCCCGUAAUCGGAUAAAUUUACACUUAA
rnacentral:rRNA from 1 species